GUUUUGGAGUGCAGGCGUGAAUAGUCCUUUCUGUCCUGCUUUGAGUACUGCUGUUGGGUGCCUUGGGGGGACCUUAAGGGAGCUCGGAAGUUGAGACGUGGUGAGUGCGAGAUCACUGCCCACAAAGGGGAGGAGCAGGCGGAUGAACAGCCAGAGCUGCAAUGGUGGAUCCUCCUCCAGGGCUGCAUGGGACGACAGAUAGAUGAGGCUCUAGGACGGGCACAAAUGCUACCCGAAUGCAAACCACUCCGGAGAUCUGUAAAAGGACUGGCCCCGGACAGGAAGCACACUUUAAACUAGAGGCGGGAGUCAAAGCCCCGGUGAAGAUUCUGUGACGGUUCAUUGUAUAAUUUAUGAUGAUGAAGAUUGAGUUGCAUUUUGCGGAAAAGAGAUGUUGAGAUAUCUAAGGCAUUGAGAAAUCUGUCAUGCAGACAUGCACACAGGGAGAGGGAGUACCCAAACUGAUGAGAACUUACAGGAAUUGGACCAUCUAAGCCCUUAGAAAGUGAAGUCCACUGUGUCUCAAACAAAGGAUGGCAAGUGUUCAUGACAUCAAUACUACCCAAGGCUUCAGAGUCAUUGGAUUGCAGGUGUCUCUAUGGUUUCAAUUCAGCACUAUUCCAUCCAUCUUUUGGCAGAGUCAGAGCCCCGGUGAAGAUUCUGUGAGAGUUCAUUGUAUUGAAUUUAUGAUGAUGAAGAUUGAGUUGCAUUUUGCGGAAAAGAGAUGUUGAGAUACCUAAGGCAUUGAGAAAUCUGUCAUGCAGACAUGCACACAGGGAGAGGGAGUACCCAAAAUGAUGAGAAGUUACAGGAAUUGGACCAUCUAAGCCCUUAGAAAGUGAAGUCCACUGUGUCUCAAACAAAGGAUGCAGUGACUUAUGAUGAUGUGAGUGUGAACUUCACUGAGGAAGAGUGGGAUUUGCUGGAUCCUUCCCAGAAAAGUCUCUAUGAAGAGGUGAUGCUGGAGACCUACCAGAACAUCACUGCUAUAGGUAAGUGAAUUUCCUCUUGCUUUUCUGAAUAAGGG
rnacentral:lncRNA from 1 species